GCAGCACUCCUCCAUACCUCUGCUUCAGUCCCUGCUCUGAUUUCCCUUCGUGAUGGACUUGAAGUUGUAAGGUGAAAUAAGCCCUUUCCUCCCUAACUUGCCUUUGGUCACGGUCUUUAUGAAAGCAGUAGAAAGCAAACUACAUUGCAAAGGAGAGUAAUGUAAAUAAAUAGAGCAGGGGAUUAUGCUUCUUCAUAGCUGGGCCUGUCUAAAGCAGGCAUACUGCAGUUCUAUGUGGAUGGAGGUUGUGGGUUGCAAACAGAUUCUGAGAGGGGUGUGUGCAGAGUCCCAGGUUGCUAAACUCUUCCCAUGUUUGCCUGCCUCAGCAGGUAGCAAAUGCUGCUCCUGCCUCCUGGAGUACUUGGGACCAGCAGCACCCAGCAUCAUGCACCAGCUUGGGGCACCUCCCACACGGGUGGCUUCCUCUGACUGUCCUUACGCUGCUUUCAGGCUGUGAAGCUCAAUUAACCUCCCUUUGAAGGCGAGCUGACUUGGUCACACCAUCCUAAUGAACAGGAUGUAACAGAAGUAUCACUUCUGAGCCUGCUCACAGCACACACUGACUCUGCUCGCUUGGAUCUCUGGGGCAAGUCAGGCACAUGUCAUGAGGACACAUAGAGCGGCUCUGUGAAAAGCCCCGUGAAGCAUGUGAAGCAUGAAGGGAGACCUCCUGCCAGUACCAGUGAGGCACUAAGUCCUUUCCAACAACCAUGGCAGUGGGCUGGCUUGGAGGGGCCCCUCAUGGGACAACUGGCUUGGAGGGACCCCACCUGGGACAGCCGGCUUGGAGGGGCUCCUCCUGGGACAGCCAGCUGGCAACUUAUGGCAACCUCCUGAAGAAUCCAGAAGCACUAAGGUUUUAAGUGAAUAUGGGAAAUCUCAGAUCUUGGUAAAAAUCACCUCCAGACGCAGACAAAGCCCAGAGGGCAGAGCAAGCAG